UCGCCAUUUUGUUUCAGUGGUGCAAGUUCAUUCAGCAAACUUCUUGGUGAUACUGAAGGAGUCCUUUGCUGUAAGAAAAGAUGGUUCUUAAGGCGUUGACACGUAAAAGCGUAACAAUUAGUGUUAUCCUGUUCGGAGGAGUUUUUGGUGGAGCUCUUGGCCUAUAUAUUCGGGAUAAUUGGGAUAUUAAAGCGAGGGAAGCCCGUGCCGCUGAGCUUGAACAACUAGUUAAAGAGAAAGAAGCAAUUGUGAAAAGACUGAAAGAGAGUAUUGAAGGAAGGAAAUAACCAGAAGGAAGUCAGGGAAUGAAACUGUCUUCUUGAAACAUCAUACAAAAGUUGAAUUGUAUCCAUGUAAAUUUACACUCUAUUGAUUCUUGACUCAGAGUCGAGUUGUAAAGGAGUGCUCUGGAUAAUGAAGUUUGUAUCAUUAAAUUUAAAGAAGCUUACAACUUUUGAACUAUUUUGAAAUUCUUUGGCUCUUGAAUUUGUGAUAUGACUUUCGAGGUACUAAUGCAGGGAUGUUGGGGAUAUAUUGUGCAUUUCUUUUAAAUAGUGUGAAAGAGCUCUUUUUGGUGAAAUAAAUUUAAAUGAAAUAAUUAU